rnacentral:rRNA from 1 species
GACGAACGCUGGCGGCGUGCCUAAUACAUGCAAGUUGAGCGAUGAAGCUUGGUGCUUGCACCAAUUUGAAGAGCAGCGAACGGGUGAGUAACGCGUGGGGAAUCUGCCUUUGAGCGGGGGACAACAUUUGGAAACGAAUGCUAAUACCGCAUAACAACUUUAAACAUAAGUUUUAAGUUUGAAAGAUGCAAUUGCAUCACUCAAAGAUGAUCCCGCGUUGUAUUAGCUAGUUGGUGAGGUAAAGGCUCACCAAGGCGAUGAUACAUAGCCGACCUGAGAGGGUGAUCGGCCACAUUGGGACUGAGACACGGCCCAAACUCCUACGGGAGGCAGCAGUAGGGAAUCUUCGGCAAUGGACGAAAGUCUGACCGAGCAACGCCGCGUGAGUGAAGAAGGUAUUCGGAUCGUAAAACUCUGUUGGUAGAGAAGAACGUUGGUGAGAGUGGAAAGCUCAUCAAGUGACGGUAACUACCCAGAAAGGGACGGCUAACUACGUG